rnacentral:rRNA from 1 species
AUUGAACGCUGGCGGCAGGCCUAACACAUGCAAGUCGAACGGAGUGGCGGACGGGUGAGUAAUGUCUGGGAAUCUGCCUGGGAGUGGGGGAUACCGUACGGAAACGGGCGCUACUACCGCAUACUACCAGAUGAGCCAAGGUGGGAUUAGCUAGGUGGUGGGGUAAAGGCCUAACAAGGCGACGAUCCGUACAUGGUCGGAGAGGAUGAUGAGUCACACGGGAACGUAGACACGGUCCCGACCCCUACGGGAGGCAUCAGUGGGGAAUAUUGCACAAUGUGCGAAAGCCUGAUCCAGCCAUGCCGCGUGUGUGAAGAAGGUCUUCGGAUUGUAAAGCACUUUCAGUUGGGAGGCGUUACCAACAGAAUAAGCACCGGCUAACUUCGUGCCAGCCGCCGCGGUAAUAC